rnacentral:rRNA from 1 species
AGUGAACGCUGGCGGUAGGCCUAACACAUGCAAGUCGAACGGCAGCACAGGAGAGCUUGCUCUCUGGGUGGCGAGUGGCGGACGGGUGAGGAAUACAUCGGAAUCUACUCUGUCGUGGGGGAUAACGUAGGGAAACUUACGCUAAUACCGCAUACGACCUACGGGUGAAAGCAGGGGAUCUCCGGACCUUGCGCGAUUGAAUGAGCCGAUGUCGGAUUAGCUAGUUGGCGGGGUAAAGGCCCACCAAGGCGACGAUCCGUAGCUGGUCGGAGAGGGUGAUCAGCACCACUGGAACUGAGACACGGUCCAGACUCCUACGGGAGGCAGCAGUGGGGAAUAUUGGACAAUGGGCGCAAGCCUGAUCCAGCCAUACCGCGUGGGUGAAGAAGGCCUUCGGGUUGUAAAGCCCUUUUGUUGGGAAAGAAAUCCAGCUGGCUAAUACCCGGUUGGGAUGACGGUACCCAAAGAAUAAGCACCGGCUAACUUCGUGCCAGCCGCCGCCGUAA